CCAGUAGUCAUAUGCUUGUCUCAAAGAUUAAGCCAUGCAUGUCUAAGUCCAAGCUGUGUUCACACGGCGAGACCGCGGACGGCUCAUUAAAUCAGUCGUGGUCCAAAUGGGCCAGUGCAAAUCCUACUUGGAUAACUGUGGUAAUUCCAGAGCUAAUACAUGCAACUGAUAUCCCGAAGGCGGUGUUGGGGCUUGCUUGCCUUGCGCUGCGCUGCUCUGACGGAUGCUUUUAUUAGACCAAGCCGCUGAGGACUUGAGGGUUCGCGCUCUCUUGUUUGACUCGUGUGAUGGUGACUCUGGAUAACCAAAUUCUGACAAGCGCACGUACUUCUCUUCUGAGCGAGACGGCGCUGCCACUUUCGAGUGUCUGCCUUAUCAGCUAUCAACCGUUCGUUAUGCGCGACCGAUGGCUUUGACGGGUAACGGGGAAUCAGGGUUCGAUUCCGGAGAGGCAGCCUGAGAGACGGCUACCACGUCCAAGGACGGCAGCAGGCACGCAAAUUACCCAAUCCCAGCAAAUGGGGGAGGUAGUGACGAAAUCUAACGAUGCGGGCGCCCUUUCUGGGGCCCCGCAAUCGGAAUGGGCACUUUCUAAACAACCUGUUGAGAACCUACUGAAGGGCAAGUCUG
rnacentral:rRNA from 1 species